rnacentral:rRNA from 1 species
CGUGGGUAACCUGCCCAAGAGAUCGGGAUAACACCUGGAAACAGAUGCUAAUACCGGAUAACAACAGAUGAUGCCUAUCAACUGUUUAAAAGAUGGUUCUGCUAUCACUCUUGGAUGGACCUGCGGUGCAUUAGCUAGUUGGUAGGGUAACGGCCUACCAAGGCGAUGAUGCAUAGCCGAGUUGAGAGGCUGAUCGGCCACAUUGGGACUGAGACACGGCCCAAACUCCUACGGGAGGCAGCAGAC